rnacentral:rRNA from 13 species
AAAAGAAAAGAGAAAAAGAAAGACAAAGAGAAAGAGAAAGAGAAAAAGAAAAGAGAAAAGAGAAAAGAGAAAAGAAAAAAGAAGGGGAAAAAGAAAGAAUA